GACGAACGCUGGCGGCGUGCUUAACACAUGCAAGUCGAACGGAAAGGCCCUGCUUUUGUGGGGUGCUCGAGUGGCGAACGGGUGAGUAACACGUGAGUAACCUGCCCUUGACUUUGGGAUAACUUCAGGAAACUGGGGCUAAUACCGGAUAGGAGCUCCUGCUGCAUGGUGGGGGUUGGAAAGUUUCGGCGGUUGGGGAUGGACUCGCGGCUUAUCAGCUGGUUGGUGGGGUAGUGGCGUACCAAGGCUUUGACGGGUAGCCUGCCUGAGAGGGUGAACGGCCACAAUGGGCCUGCGAUACGGCCCAGACUCCUACGGGCGGCAGCGGUGGGGAGUAUUGCACAAUGGGGGGAAGCCUGAUGCAGCAACGCCGCGUGCGGGAUGCCGGCCUUCGGGUUGUAAACCGCUUUCGACUGUGACGAAGAGUGAGUGACGGUAAUGGGUAAAGAAGCACCGGCUAACUACGUG
rnacentral:rRNA from 1 species